UACGUAGGGUGCGAGCGUUAAUCGGAAUUACUGGGCGUAAAGCGUGCGCAGGCGGUUGUGCAAGACAGAGGUGAAAUCCCCGAGCUUAACUUGGGAACUGCCUUUGUGACUGCAUAGCUAGAGUGUGUCAGAGGGGGGUAGAAUUCCACGUGUAGCAGUGAAUUGCGUAGAGAUGUGGAGGAAUACCGAUGGCGAAGGCAGCCCCCUGGGAUAACACUGACGCUCAUGCACGAAAGCGUGGGGAGCAAACAGG
rnacentral:rRNA from 1 species